rnacentral:rRNA from 1 species
CCUACGGGCGGCAGCAGUGAGGAAUAUUGGUCAAUGGGCGAGAGCCUGAACCAGCCAAGUCGCGUGAAGGAUGACGGCCCUACGGGUUGUAAACUUCUUUUGUCAGGGAGUAAUUGGGUCCACGCGUGGGCUUAGCGAGAGUAUCUGAAGAAAAAGCAUCGCCUAACUCCGUGCCAGCAGCCGCGGUAAUACGGAGGAUGCGAGCGUUACUCGGAAUCACUGGGCGGAAAGAGCGCGUAGACGGGUUAGCAAGUCAGAUGUGAAAUCCUAUGGCUUAACCAUAGAACUGCAUUUGAUACUGGUAUUCUAGAGUAUAGGAGAGGUAGGUGGAAUUCUUGGUGUAGAGGUAAAAUCCGUAGAGAUCAAGAAGAAUACUCAUUGCGAAGGCGACCUGCUAGAACAUAACUGACGCUGAUGCGCGAAAGCGUGGGGAGCAAACAGGAUUAGAUACCCCAGUAGUC